rnacentral:rRNA from 1 species
GCUCAGAAUGAACGCUGGCGGCGUGCUUAACACAUGCAAGUCGGAUGUGCCGCAAGGUGCAUGGCAGACGGGUGAGUAACGCGUGGGGAACCUACCUCUUCGUGGGGAAUAACGCUCCGAAAGGAGUGGUAAUACCGCAUGAGACCCUGGGCUGGGAUGUUCAGGGUGAAAGCUGGGGAUCGAAAGACCUGGCGCGAGGAGAGGGUCCUGCGUCUGAUUAGCUAGUUGGCGGGGUAAUGGCCCACCAAGGCGACGAUCAGUAGCCGGCCUGAGAGGGUGAUCGGCCACACUGGAACUGAGACACGGUCCAGACUCCUACGGGAGGCAGCAGUGGGGAAUUUUGCGCAAUGGGCGAGAGCCUGACGCAGCAACGCCGCGUGGGUGAUGAAGGUCUUCGGAUUGUAAAACCCUGUCGUCGGGGACGAAGGUUGGGGGGUGAAUAGCCUUUCAGCUUGACGGUACCCGGAGAGGAAGCCCCGGCUAACUCUGUGCCAGCAGCCGCGGUAAUACAGAGGGGGCAAGCGUUAUUCGGAAUUAUUGGGCGUAAAGGGCGCGUAGGCGGUGCUUUAAGUCGGAUGUGUAAUCCCCGAGCUUAACUUGGGAACUGCAUCCGAGACUGGAGUGCUGGAGUGCUGGAGAGGGUGGUGGAAUUCCUCGUGUAGCGGUGAAAUGCGUAGAGAUGAGGAGGAACACCAGUGGCGAAGGCGGCCACCUGGACAGUAACUGACGCUGAGGCGCGAAAGUGUGGGUAGCAAACAGGAUUAGAUACCCUGGUAGUCCACGCUGUAAACGAUGAACACUUGGUGUGGAGGGAGUUGACCCCUUCCGUGCCGUAGCUAACGCGAUAAGUGUUCCGCCUGGGGAGUACGGUCGCAGGCUGAAACUCAAAU